rnacentral:lncRNA from 1 species
GCUUCUUUGUACUACUGUAAUAUACCUCACAUCUAGGACCUAAAGCAGUAUGGCAGAUUUCCCUGCUUUCUUUAGCGUAGCUUACUUAUUUAAUGUGACUGCAUCCCCAAAUGGAAUUAGGUGACUGUGUUCAAAGCACAAUGCUGAUUAAAAUCAAAGCUAUCUAUUUUUUUGUAUAUUAAGUAUAUGGCUUUGAAAAGUAGCCCAACUUUUACUUAAAUUAAAUAAAAACCAUAGCCAUCCAAUGGAAGUUUGCAUUGCUAUUAUCUAGGGUUUUCACCAGUCAUAAACAACAAGAAUUAAAAUGUUUUUGAAAUAAAUGGGACAAAACAUGGAAAAAGAGAUAAUGACAUCUGGCCUAGAGACUGGGAGAGCAGACCUCUUGCCUACCUAGAGCUACUGCUCUAAGCAGGCUACCAGCAGGACAUAGAGAAGUUUGGAAAACAUAAUAGAGGUAGAUGAUUUUAUGUUACUGCCACACUCUUUUAUGGUAGAAGAUAGAUAAAUACUAACUGAAAACUCCUGAAGUUUCAUAUGCAGGAGGGUCAGGACAACUAGAAGCUGGCUCCUUUACCUUCUUUGAGGCAGUUCAAGUAAUUGGGGCUUAGGACCACAGGGUUCAUGCAUUUAUUAUUCCUUCUGCUUUUCCAGGUGUAUGACAUCUAGUGGCAGCUGUAGCUUGUAAGACCUUGGAGACACUGUCAGCUUUAUUGGGCAACACCAUGAAGGAAAUUUUGAUCAAAAUCUCAUACCUGUUAACAGAGAGAGCCAGCGGGAGAUGUGCAGGGUUUAUUUUGCCUCAGG